GCAGGCAUCACUGAAGACUUGACACCGGCGGAAUCGGACGUCCAAGCGUCUCCAAGGCAGAAUGUCCAAGGUGUUAUCUUCUGCAAUAACUUUAUCUCCAUCAGAUGAAGCUGGCCAAAGCUGUCCGUGACAGUGUCUGUGCGCCGUCCGGAGGAACAGACUUUUUCCACGGCUCUAAAUGACCGGAGAGGCGCAGGGGCGAGACAAUAACGCCCAGAAGUUAUUGAAAUGAAUCGUCAUGAAAGGAGACGGUAAACUAGUAAUAGCAGCUUUAGCCUUCAAGGAAGGGAAGCAACAAACCCCAAGAGUGGAACACAACGAAGCAAAAGACAAGAGUGAUGAAAGAGGUCCAGACAUGAAGGAGGCAUGCACACACACAUACAACGGCACCUACAGUCUGUCUGCGGUCUACCACCACCCUACCACACACACACACACACACACGCCUGUUUCAGUAAAAACGAGAGACCACCGAGUCAGGAGUCGGGAUAAUAAUGGUGUCAGCGGAGACAGAAGGAGACGCCAUUCCAGCUGUGAGGAGAUGGAAUAAGUCGACGCACAUACAAACAGACCUGGAAGGGGCGUGAGCAGGUGAGCAUUAAGUCAGGCAGCUAAACAGAUCACGUCGCGGUAUGAUAUCUGCAGACAGGCAGACAGAGGAGACCGGUCUGUACCUGCAGGCAGAGAGCAACAACUCACAGCACCACUGCCAGGAAUUUCCUCCCCCUCCUAAGAGAGAGAAACAGAGAGAGAGAGAGAGAGAGAGAGAGAGGAGGGGUGAGGGACUGAAGGUGAGAGACCAAGAUAAACUGGGGUUUUUACUGAUGCCUUUUUAUGCAAACCAGAUUGCAAAGAUUAAUCUGACUGAAACUGGAUGGUAAUUUUUGCAUGUAUUCCAAUUUUUUUUUUUUUUGGGUGGGGGGGUGAUAACUAAUAAUGGAGUUCAGCAUUCAGGUUUAUGUUUAUUCAGUCAUCCAUAAUACCAAAUGGAGUUGCAUUAACAAGCGAAAUAACAUCAAUUUGUAUCGAAACUUUGCCUCAAAAUGAAUUGUAUUAUUAGAUAAAGUAAAUAACAGGCUUACUGCUUUCAAAGAAUAUUUAAUAUCAGUUAUGAAUAAAGCAUGCCAACCUAAUUUCUCCUUUCAAAUGUUUUCUUUCCCCUCCGUUUGGUAGUGUACAUAAUUUACAAUGUGUUAUUUUUAGUUCAUUUGUUGUUUUCCUCCAGUGGCACUUUGGGUUUCAUCCUUUAGAAGUGUUGUUUUUCUUCUUUAUGACAACUAGAUGUCUUUUAAAACAGAAAAAAAAGCAUUUUUCUUUUCAUAUUAUCAGUUUCUAGCUUCGUUAUGCCUACAUUUAUCUCCUAAAUAACAAUGUAAAGUUAUACUCAAGCGACUCUCACUGGUUUCGUAUGUCAUUUAGGGUGGGAACAAGAUAACCUAAAGUAGAAAUCACACAAAAACUUAGCAUAAACUGUUCUAGUUGGCUACAUUUGAGCCUAGUAAUCUCCCUUAACCUCAAAUGAUGAUUUUCAAUUGGGGAAAAAGAAAGGAAACGGCGCAUUCACACGCUGCGGAGAUAUCGGUUGCAGAUGGCUCUUUUGUUAUUUUGGAGUAAUUUGAUAUCCUCUCCAACGAUCUAUCUUUCUGGAAUUACUGGGGUGUUUUGACACUAACUGUGAAACUGAAUGUAUCUGUUACACAAACUUGUUCUUCUAGUUUGCUUUUGUGGUCACUCAGACGAGGAUAUUUUACAUUGUUUCAUCCAUGUUCUGCACCGCUUAUGCAUUUUUAAUCACUAGUACCUUCUUUUAUAUUUUAUUAUGUUACUUUAUUUGUACGUUGGUCCGGUAACAAACACGCUUCCUUUCUCAUACAUCUAACCUUGUCUUUUAGAAACUUAUUAAACAGAUCGGCCUUGUUCCACGGCCAAGUUCUUUCGGCACAAUUUAUAUUUAGUUUACAAACACGCCACCUGAAAUUUUUACAAGUCACAACUCCCCCCUACACAAGCAACCGCCCGCACUUAUCUAAAAAUGAUUCAGUGGUUAAAUGUCAGAGCUGUCGGUGCCAUUAAGGCCAGCUUGUUUGAAGGAAGGACACCCUUGCCUGGCCUCUCCCUCCUCCUUCCUCUGUCUCUUCUGGUUCCUCUUGCUCAAUCCCCUUUCUUCCUCCUCACUCCCGUCAGCUCUCUCAUCAUCCACCACCCCCACACCACCACCACCACCCCACCCACGCUGCCUGGUUUGAGGGCUGAUGUGCAGACCUUGUCAUUCAGAUUAGGGCCACAUUGUCAGCUCAGGGCUCUUCUCUCUCUAGUUGCAUGUCCUGGAUCUUUCUUCCUACUGUCACCCUCAUCCUGCGGCCAAAGAAGACCUUAUAAAGCAACAUUCCUUCUCAUCCACUUCUGUCAAUUCCAACACUGUCACUCAAAUCACUUUUCAGUAGAGUGGAGAGGCUGAGUUAGCAGUGUCCCUUGCAGCAAGGACUGUGCUUUUUGGUCAGAGUUGGGUGACGCAUCAGCUUGAUUGAGUUUAUUUUUUUCUUUGUUUUUUUUUUUUUUUUGCUCUUGCUUCAAACUGACAACUUUCUCUGGAUAAUAUUUUACCUGAGAAGACCACGUAGAACCAGAUCUCCGGUUCUGGAGAGACGACAAACAGCGCAAUCUUAACCAUCAGACACGUCAAGCACACAUCUUUAGAAAUUUGAAAGUAGGAGAUUCCUGCUUGAUAGCUUCCCGAGAAAGGUGCUAUUGUUAAGCUUUGAAAUAAAUACUUGGCAGAUGAGAAACACACCACAAAAUCUUAGUCACUCCUCAUCCAGACCUGUAAAAACAUCCCAAUACUGUGUGUAUCAUCCAGCCACAUCGUGACUCACUGCCACAGCUUUAUUGUCACAUCAGAUAUCGUUGCGGCUGCAAUUCUGUGGCACUUGAUUUUUGUGCCUGUAACAAACCUGUUUUUCUGUCACUGAACAGCGAUGAUUCAGCACUGUGUAAUAAAACAUGGUGGACAGUUUCUUUACUGGUAGUAGACACAAUGCAGAAACAGUGCCACAUCAUAACGAAACAACAGAUGCUAUUCAUCCGGGUGAGAAGACGUGAGUUUCAGACCCGGUGUCUGCUUUACCCUCCAGCAUGCAUAUAUAGCCCUAGAGACAGGCUCUUAUGAGGCCACUGUGCUUCAAUACAGCAUAUGAUGACUAGCUGCAACCUCCACCCAGGUGCAGUGUUUACUAAAACCUGCUAUGAGUCAGGAGUUUCAAGAUGACUUCCCCCCCUUCUAACUGUUACGUGCGGUUAAAUAAAAUGUGUUCUCACUGAC